rnacentral:rRNA from 1 species
GACGAACGCUGGCGGCGUGCUUAACACAUGCAAGUCGAGCGGUAAGGCCCUUUUUGGGGGGUACACGAGCGGCGAACGGGUGAGUAACACGUGGGUGACCUGCCCUCAGCUCUGGGAUAAGCCUGGGAAACUGGGUCUAAUACUGGAUAUGACCUUUCCUCGCAUGGGGGUUGGGUGGAAAGUUUUUCGGCUGGGGAUGGGCCCGCGGCCUAUCAGCUUGUUGGUGGGGUGAUGGCCUACCAAGGCGACGACGGGUAGCCGCCUGAGAGGGCGACCGGCCACACUGGGACUGAGACACGGCCCAGACUCCUACGGGAGGCAGCAGGUGGGGAAUAUUGCGCAAUGGGCGGAAGCCUGACGCAGCGACGCCGCGUGGGGAUGACG